UACGUAGGGGGCAAGCGUUAUCCGGAAUUAUUGGGCGUAAAGAGGGAGCAGGCGGCAGCAAAGGUCUGUGGUGAAAGACUGAAGCUUAACUUCAGUAAGCCAUAGAAACCGGGCAGCUAGAGUGCAGGAGAGGAUCGUGGAAUUCCAUGUGUAGCGGUGAAAUGCGUAGAUAUAUGGAGGAACACCAGUGGCGAAAGCGACGAUCUGGCCUGCAACUGACGCUCAGUCCCGAAAGCGUGGGGAGCAAAUAGG
rnacentral:rRNA from 1 species